rnacentral:rRNA from 1 species
CCUACGGGAGGCAGCAGUGAGGAAUAUUGGUCAAUGGGCGCGAGCCUGAACCAGCCAAGUCGCGUGAGGGAAGACGGUCCUAUGGAUUGUAAACCUCUUUUGUCGGGGAGCAAAAGACGCCACGCGUGGCGUUCCGAGAGUACCCGAAGAAAAAGCAUCGGCUAACUCCGUGCCAGCAGCCGCGGUAAUACGGAGGAUGCGAGCGUUAUCCGGAUUUAUUGGGUUUAAAGGGUGCGCAGGCGGCGUGUCAAGUCAGCGGUAAAAUGUCGGGGCUCAACCCCGGCCGGCCGUUGAAACUGGCGUGCUCGAGUGGGAGAGAAGUAUGCGGAAUUCGUGGUGUAGCGGUGAAAUGCAUAGAUAUCACGAAGAACCCCGAUUGCGAAGGCAGCAUACCGGCUCCACACUGACGCUGAGGCACGAAAGCGUGGGUAUCGAACAGGAUUAGAUACCCCAGUAGUC